rnacentral:rRNA from 1 species
UUAAGUCCCGCAACGAGCGCAACCCUCAUUGUUAGUUACUACCAUUCAGUUGAGGACUCUAAUGAGACUGCCAACGACAAGUUGGAGGAAGGUGGGGAUGACGUCAAAUCAUCAUGCCCUUUAUGACCUGGGCUACAAACGUACUACAAUGGCCAAUACAAAGAGAUGCGAAGCGGUGACGUGGAGCGAACCUCAGAAAGUUGGUCUCAGUUCAGAUUGAAGUCUGCAACUCGACUUCAUGAAGGCGGAAUCGCUAGUAAUCGCGGGUCAGCAGACCGCGGUGAAUACGUUCCCGGGUUU